GCCUGCAGCACAGUGAGAUAAAGAAAUGGAAACACAUAUGAGAAAUUAAGAGACAGAGAGAACAAGAUGAGGUGCUUAAAUAGGCACCUCAUAGAAGUUCUAGAAAGAGAACAGUGAGACUCUGGAAUAGUCAAUAUUUGUAGAGGUAAUGCCUGAAGUUUUUCCAGAAUUGAAGGACAUACAUGGUGUGGUUUUAAAAUAUCCUCAAGUCCUAGACAGGAUAACUAGAAACCAAUUCCUGUGAAGACAGCGUAACAAACUGCAAAACACAAGGAUAAGGAGAAAAAUGUGAAAGCUACCCGGGAAGACAGGAUAACUAGAAACCAAUUCCUGUGAAGACAGCAUAACAAACUGCAAAACACAAGGAUAAGGAGAAAAAUGUGAAAGCUACCCGGGAUUAAAAAUCACCAAAAACAACAGAUACAAGAUGAAGGGUAUACAGUGAGAUGGUGGUACCCACCUCAUCAGUAAGGCCGAAUGUCGGCGUGCAGGGAAAUUAUAUCCACAAUCCUUACAUUGUUCUGAUCCAAGGACAGACAGACUUCACAGAGCAGGAGAGAUAACCUGGAAAGAGAGAAACGAAGUGAAUAUUCGACAAAAAAUGGAUCACAAACCAGGACGACUUGGAGGAUUAGACAUAAUGCCGUGAUGAAUCAUCGACUUUG
rnacentral:lncRNA from 1 species